rnacentral:rRNA from 1 species
ACUUAAAUUGAAGAGUUUGAUCAUGGCUCAGAUUGAACGCUGGCGGCAGGCCUAACACAUGCAAGUCGAACGGUAACAGGAAGCAGCUUGCUGCUUCGCUGACGAGUGGCGGACGGGUGAGUAAUGUCUGGGAAACUGCCUGAUGGAGGGGGAUAACUACUGGAAACGGUAGCUAAUACCGCAUAAUGUCGCAAGACCAAAGAGGGGGACCUUCGGGCCUCUUGCCAUCGGAUGUGCCCAGAUGGGAUUAGCUAGUAGGUGGGGUAACGGCUCACCUAGGCGACGAUCCCUAGCUGGUCUGAGAGGAUGACCAGCCACACUGGAACUGAGACACGGUCCAGACUCCUACGGGAGGCAGCAGUGGGGAAUAUUGCACAAUGGGCGCAAGCCUGAUGCAGCCAUGCCGCGUGUAUGAAGAAGGCCUUCGGGUUGUAAAGUACUUUCAGCGGGGAGGAAGGCGAUAAGGUUAAUAACCUUGUCGAUUGACGUUACCCGCAGAAGAAGCACCGGCUAACUCCGUGCCAGCAGCCGCGGUAAUACGGAGGGUGCAAGCGUUAAUCGGAAUUACUGGGCGUAAAGCGCACGCAGGCGGUCUGUCAAGUCGGAUGUGAAAUCCCCGGGCUCAACC